rnacentral:rRNA from 1 species
GUGAGGAAUAUUGCGCAAUGGAGGCAACUCUGACGCAGCCAUGCCGCGUGCAGGAAGAAGGCGCUACGCGUUGUAAACUGCUUUUAACCGGGAAGAAACCCCAGGACGUGUCCUGGGUUGACGGUACCGGAGGAAUAAGCACCGGCUAACUUCGUGCCAGCAGCCGCGGUAAUACGAAGGGUGCAAGCGUUAUCCGGAUUCAUUGGGUUUAAAGGGUGCGUAGGUGGAGCGUUAAGUCAGUGGUGAAAUCCUGCAGCUUAACUGUAGACUUGCCAUUGAUACUGGCGCUCUUGAGUGCGCUUGAAGUGGGCGGAAUGUGCCGUGUAGCGGUGAAAUGCUUAGAUAUGGCACAGAACACCAAUUGCGAAGGCAGCUCACUAAGGCGAUACUGACGCUGAGGCACGAAAGCGUGGGGAUCGAACAGGAUUAGAAACCCCAGUAGUCC